ACUACGGGGUGCUGCAGUGGGGAAUAUUGGACAAUGGGCGAAAGCCUGAUCCAGCCAUGCCGCGUGUGUGAAGAAGGCCUUCGGGUUGUAAAGCACUUUCAGUGGGGAAGAAAGCCUUGGGGCUAAUACCCUCGAGGAAGGACAUCACCCACAGAAGAAGCACCGGCUAACUCCGUGCCAGCAGCCGCGGUAAUACGGAGGGUGCGAGCGUUAAUCGGAAUUACUGGGCGUAAAGCGCGCGUAGGCGGUCUGAUAAGCCGGUUGUGAAAGCCCCGGGCCCAACCUGGGAACGGCAUCCGGAACUGUCAGGCUAGAGUGCAGGAGAGGAAGGUAGAAUUCCCGGUGUAGCGGUGAAAUGCGUAGAGAUCGGGAGGAAUACCAGUGGCGAAGGCGGCCUUCUGGACUGACACUGACGCUGAGGUGCGAAAGCGUGGGUAGCAAACAGGAUUAGAUACCCCGGUAGUC
rnacentral:rRNA from 1 species